rnacentral:rRNA from 1 species
CCUACGGGAGGCAGCAGUGGGGAAUAUUGCACAAUGGGCGCAAGCCUGAUGCAGCGACGCCGCGUGAGGGAUGACGGCCUUCGGGUUGUAAACCUCUUUCAGCAGGGACGAAGCGCAAGUGACGGUACCUGCAGAAGAAGCACCGGCCAACUACGUGCCAGCAGCCGCGGUAAUACGUAGGGUGCAAGCGUUGUCCGGAAUUACUGGGCGUAAAGAGCUCGUAGGCGGUUUGUCGCGUCGUCUGUGAAAACCAGCAGCUCAACUGUUGGCUUGCAGGCGAUACGGGCAGACUUGAGUAUUUCAGGGGAGACUGGAAUUCCUGGUGUAGCGGUGAAAUGCGCAGAUAUCAGGAGGAACACCGGUGGCGAAGGCGGGUCUCUGGGAAAUAACUGACGCUGAGGAGCGAAAGCGUGGGUAGCGAACAGGAUUAGAUACCCUGGUAGUCCACGCCGUAAACGGUGGGCGCUAGGUGUGGGUUUCCUUCACGGGAUCCGUGCCGUAGCUAACGCAUUAAGCGCCCCGCCNGGGGAGUACGGCCGCAAGGCUAAAACUCAAAUGAAUUGACGGCUGAGAGNGCGACGACGACGACGAGGGAGAGG